rnacentral:lncRNA from 1 species
UCUGAGCGCGCGGGCGCCCGCAGCCGGCGUGAGCGCUGCGGGGGCGCCUGGGCGAGGAGGCAGCUGCUCCUGCUUCUGGGCUGCGGGGGGGAAAACAAAACAACGACAACAAAACUGUUCAAAAACUCGCGUGAGGGAGGCUGCCUGGCGUUUCUGAGGAGUGACUGCGAGCGGUUGCUGCGCUAAAAAAAUGCCUCGAGUAGGAUAAAAAUACGCGAUGGGCACAAAUGCUCUUCAGAGCGCUCUUCCCGCUUGGUGUGCGCUAGCCUGUGCUGAAGAGGCCAGAACCUGGGCAAAAGGAGGAAUUGUUCAUUUGAAGAUGUACAUUUUGCUUUUCCAGAAACCAUGAAAAACCAUAGAUUAAGUUUCCUGUGAACAAACUGCAGCUACGUUGGAAGACAACUGUAAUGUUUUCCUGGCUUGAACGAUGGUGGCCUGCCUGCUUCUCUUGCUUUCUUCCUUGAGAUAUUUGUGGCAGACAGAGGAGCUGCUGAGACUAUGACAGGUAUUUUAUGCUGUUUGGCUGCUGGAGGUGACCCUCCCACCCCUUACCUUGUUUAAUAUUUAGCAUGGCGUUUGCCAGCAGGCGCCCUGUGGAUGCAUAUUCCAAGCAUGUCCAGCAAAAGGCCUCUGAAAUGAAGGAGAAGGUAGAGAAACCUGAAGGUGCCAACAAACUGACACAGGUCUGGUUUUGGGUCUUUUUCCUGCAUUUGCCUGUGGAGUUCUGCAAAGAUAGUAGCAGUUUGAAUAAAGAAUCUGAAGCUCAGCCUGCAUGGUCCUGGUUCCCACUCCCUGGUGUGGAGCAUGUCACUGUUGCAGAGAGUGGGAAAGAAAUAGGCCUGUAGGCCAGGCACAUUGGGCAAAGAUCCUUUUCAUUCAAGACUCGUAACCAACAUUUACAGUUUUUGAUACCCAACAUGAAGUAACACAUCACUGAGAUGCAGGAAAGCCCAUGUCAUUUCUCAUCUAUAUGAUGAGCAGCAAGAGCCAGGUACAAGGAAGAAGGCAACAUAUCCGUGAAAACGUUACAGGGAGCUCAAGGGACAAACCAGGAAGAUACGAAUAAAAUAGUUGUGCAUCACA